rnacentral:sRNA from 1 species
CUUGGAUUCCUCUGUCCAGCUUUUAACAAUCUAAGUUACGCCCUUUUCUGGGUCACGCUAGAAUCAGAUCUGCUCUCCAGCAUCUUCUGUUUCCUGGCAAGUGUUUCCUGCUACUUUGGAUUGGCCAUGAUGGGCUGGAGCUGCCUUGUGACAGGAGCAGGAGGGCUUCUGGGUCAGAGGAUCGUCCGCCUGUUGGUGGAAGAGAAGGAACUGAAGGAGAUCAGGGCCUUGGACAAGGCCUUCAGACCAGAAUUGAGAGAGGAAUUUUCUAAUCCCUGGGAACUCACUGGGGAAGAGUCAUUUUCCAUCAGCUUUCAACUUCUGCUAUGAAAUGGCAAUUCCUUUGAGCCAGUCUGUCUAAAGUCGGCAGCAAAGGAGAAGCAAAUGAAGGGAGUAGAAAAGAGCUCCAGAACAAGACCAAGCUGACUGUACUGGAAGGAGACAUUCUGGAUGAGCCAUUCCUGAAGAGAGCCUGUCAGGAUGUCUCGGUCGUCAUCCACACCGCCUGUAUUAUUGAUGUCUUUGGUGUCACUCACAGAGAGUCCAUCAUGAAUGUCAAUGUGAAAGGUACAGUAGCCUGGGGAGGAGAC